rnacentral:rRNA from 1 species
AGAGUUUGAUUAUGGCUCAGGAUGAACGCUAGCUACAGGCUUAACACAUGCAAGUCGUGGGGCAGCAUGGUGUGCUGCAACAACCGAUGGCGACCGGCGCACGGGUGAGUAACGCGUAUCCAACCUGGCCCUUAGUAGGGGAUAGCCCGGCGAAAGUCGGAUUAAUACCCUAUGUUCUUUACAUCAGACAUCUAACGUAAAGCAAAGAUUUAUCGCUAGGGGAUGGGGAUGCGUCCGAUUAGCUUGCCGGCGGGGUAACGGCCCACCGGGGCGACGAUCGGUAGGGGUUCUGAGAGGAAGGUCCCCCACAUUGGAACUGAGACACGGUCCAAACUCCUACGGGAGGCAGCAGUGAGGAAUAUUGGUCAAUGGGCGAGAGCCUGAACCAGCCAAAGUAGCGUGAGGGAUGACGGCCCUACGGGUUGUAAACCUCUUUUGUACGGGAAUAAAGUGCGCCACGCGUGGCGUUUUGUAUGUACCGUAAGAAUAAGGACCGGCUAAUUCCGUGCCAGCAGCGGC